rnacentral:rRNA from 1 species
GACGAACGCUGGCGGCGUGCCUAAUACAUGCAAGUCGAGCGGACUGAUUAAGAGCUUGCUCUUAUGACGUUAGCGGCGGACGGGUGAGUAACACGUGGGCAACCUGCCCUGUAGAUCGGGAUAACACCGAGAAAUCGGUGCUAAUACCGGGUAAUAUCUGAGAUCACAUGAUCUUAGGUUAAAAGAUGGCUCCGGCUAUCACUACAGGAUGGGCCCGCGGCGCAUUAGCUAGUUGGUAAGGUAAUGGCUUACCAAGGCGACGAUGCGUAGCCGACCUGAGGGGGUGAUCGGCCACACUGGGACUGGGACACGGCCCAGACUCCUACGGGAGGCAGCAGUAGGGAAUCUGCCGCAAUGGACGAAAGUCUGACGGAGCAACGCCGCGUGAGUGAUGAAGGGGUUCGGCUCGUAAAGCUCUGUUGUUAGGGAAGAAACAGUACCGAACGAACUAGGUCGGUACCUUGACGGUACCUAACCAGAAAGCCACGGCUAACUACGUG